rnacentral:rRNA from 1 species
GUGAGGAAUAUUGGUCAAUGGAGGCAACUCUGAACCAGCCAUGCCGCGUGCAGGAAGACGGUCCUAUGGAUUGUAAACUGCUUUUAUUUAGGAAUAAACCCCCGGUCGUGCACCGGGGCUGAAUGUACUAAAAGAAUAAGCACCGGCUAACUCCGUGCCAGCAGCCGCGGUAAUACGGAGGGUGCAAGCGUUAUCCGGAAUCAUUGGGUUUAAAGGGUCCGCAGGCGGGUAAAUAAGUCAGAGGUGAAAUCCGGCAGCUCAACUGUCGCACUGCCUUUGAUACUGUUUAUCUUGAAUUUUAGUGGAGUGGGCGGAAUAUGUCAUGUAGCGGUGAAAUGCUUAGAUAUGACGUGGAACACCGAUAGCGAAGGCAGCUCACUAACUAUGAAUUGACGCUCAUGGACGAAAGCGUGGGUAGCAAACAGGAUUAGAUACCCGGGUAGUCC